UGUUACCGCUUGCUGAGAAUACUACUAGACUUGGGAUUGGGAGAGGGUAGAGGUAUUCCUUGUGUAGGGGUUAAAUCCUUUAAUCCAAGGAAGACCACCGGUGGCGAAGGCGUCUACCUGGAACAAGUCCGACGGUGAGGGACGAAAGCGUGGGGAGCGAACGGGAUUAGAUACAAACUUUUCUAAUCCGAAGAUACCAAAAAUGAUUGGAUGGUUUGCUAGAAACCCCGGUAGUCCACGCCGUAAACGAUGCCCGCUUGAUGUUGCAAACUUUACGGGAGUUUGCAGUGUCGGAGUGUAAAUGUUAAGCGGGCCACCUGGGGAGUACGGCCGCAAGGCUAAAACUUAAGGGAAUUGGCGGGAGAGCACACAAGGGGUGUGAGCUGCGGUUUAAUUGGAUUCAACGCCGGGAAUCUCACGAGGGUUGACAGCAGAAUGAAGGUCAGCCUAACGGGUUUACCAGACAAGCUGAGAGGUGUUGCAUGGCCAUCGUCAGCUCGUACCUUGAGGCGUGCGGUUAAGUCCGUUAACGAGCGAGACCCACGCUAUCAUUUGCGAUCGUGUUCUAGGUCCAAAAGACCAAAAACACGAGCACUAUGAUAGGACCGCUGGUGAUAAACCAGAGGAAGGAGUGGGCGACGGUAGGUCAGUAUGCCCCGAAAAUCUCUAGAGGAUCC
rnacentral:rRNA from 1 species